rnacentral:rRNA from 1 species
UACGUAGGGUGCGAGCGUUAAUCGGAAUUACUGGGCGUAAGCGUGCGCAGGCGGUUUUGUAAGUCUGUCGUGAAAGCCCCGGGCUCAACCUGGGAAUGGCGAUGGAGACUGCAAGGCUUGAAUCUGGCAGAGGGGGGUAGAAUUCCACGUGUAGCAGUGAAAUGCGUAGAGAUGUGGAGGAACACCGAUGGCGAAGGCAGCCCCCUGGGUCAAGAUUGACGCUCAUGCACGAAAGCGUGGGGAGCAAACAGG